rnacentral:rRNA from 1 species
ACGGAAGGCAGCAGUGAGGAAUAUUGGUCAAUGGGCGGAAGCCUGAACCAGCCAAGUCGCGUGAGGGAAGACGGCCCUACGGGUUGUACACCUCUUCUGCGCGGGGGUAAAGUCGGGGACGCGUCCCCGAUUGCAAGUACCGCGCGAAAAAGGAUCGGCUAACUCCGUGCCAGCAGCCGCGGUAAUACGGAGGACCCGAGUGUUAUCCGGAUUUAUUGGGUUUAAAGGGUGCGCAGGCGGGAUGUCAAGUCAGUGGUGAAAUGGGGCGGCUCAACCGUAGCAUUGCCGUUGAAACUGGCGUCCUUGAGUGCGAAUGAGGUACGCGGAACGUGUCAUGUAGCGGUGAAAUGCAUAGAUAUGACACAGAACACCGAUUGCGAAGGCAGCGUACUGGGACGCGACUGACGCUGAGGCACGAAAGUGCGGGGAUCGAACAGGAUUAGAUACCCUGGUA